rnacentral:lncRNA from 1 species
UUUUUUGUUAUUUUUUUAAUUUCAUCCUUUUCUAUUUAGUUAAUUUAUGGUUAGGGUUGAUAAUUUGUCAAGGUUAAUUUCAUGAAAGUUUCUUGAAAGGUUUUAAAAAGAUUUUUUUUCUUUAUUUUUUUUCAAUUUUAUUAUUCAAUAUUGAGUUUUUUUUAUUGAUUUUUUUCAAUUUCAUCUUUCAACAUUUAGUUGAUUGAGAAUUAAACUUUAUAACUUGUUUCGUUUUUCUUUCUAUGGGGUUAUCAUAGUCUCCAACAAACAUCGUAAUAUUAGGUU